CACACUGGUUGGAAAAGAAUUAACAUGACGACCCCGGUCGAGAAGAAUUGAUAAGUCAAUUGAUUAAGCAAAAGGAUUAGCACUCUCAUAUGAAUAUCAGAACACUACUUAGAAAAGAUCUGAAAUCACCACUUGACAUCGAAGCAACACGAAGUACCAUAUUCCAACAAAACAACGGGUGAGGCUUGCAAAUAGCCAGAACAAACUCAUGAGAAAGAUUUCGUCCGAUAUUUUCGUGGACAGGAUCGCACGGGCUCGAUCCUUACAGUAGCCAUCAAGUGCAAGGCAGUGCACCCAACAUACGAGGUGUCCCCGAGUCGUAGCAAGCUACAAGGAGUCUUUAAGACACAACGAGAACCGCUGUAAGUCGACCGUCAACAAACGAAUCCACUAGAUGUUGAACCCCAACAUAACAUCAUGCAUUUGUUGGAAGAUUGUCCUAUAAGUAACUACUUGAAUUCCCACCUAAGAAUUCCCGAAAUAACUGGUCAUGCAACCUGGUACAC
rnacentral:lncRNA from 1 species